GAAGUGAGCCAGACAGCCGCUGGCCGGGUCCGCAAGGGCCGGGCGGGAGGAAGGUCCGGACUCCACAGAGCAGGGUGACGGCUAACGGCCGUCCGCUGAAAGCCCGUCUUGACGGGUAUAAGGCGAGGAAUAGGGCCACAGAGACGAGCGUAUUCAGUUACGGUGAAACGCGGUAACCUCCACCUGGAGCAAUCCCAAAUAGGCACGCGUUGAGGCGGCUCGCGGAGCGUGCGGGUAGGGAGCUUGAGCGCACCAGCAAUGGGGCGCCUAGAGGAAUGGCUGUCAUAGCGCGCAAGCGCCGUAACAGAAUCCGGCCUAUCGGCUCGCUUCACAU
rnacentral:RNase_P_RNA from 1 species